AUUAAUGUAAUGAGCCUUUCCUAAAUAGAGUUAUGUAUAGGCUAUAUAUAUGCCUCCUCUGUUGAUCUAAAAAGUGGGGAAGAAACGAGAAAAAGAGAGGAAAAAAGGAGAGAGGGAGAGGAAACAAGUAAACAGAGAGAGAGAGAGAGAGAGAGAGAGAAAAGAUGAGAAAGAAAAACGAGAGUGACAGAGGAGACUGAAACAGAGAGAGGAGAAAGAAAAAGAGAAAAGAGGGACGAGGGAGAGGAAACAGGUAAGCAGAGAAAGAAAAGGAAAAGACAGAAGGGAAAAAGGGGGAGAGAAAAAAAAAAGAGGGGGAGAGAGACCAAAAAACAAAUGGAGGAGAAAGAAAAAAAACAUAGGGAACAAGGAGAAGACCGAGAAUAGGAAAGCAGAGAAAGCAAGGAGGAAGAGAGAGCUGAUCACCUUCAGCCUAUCUUACCUUGCCGGAUAGGACAUCACAAAACUCUGAAAGGGGUGGAAAGAGCUCCUAACAGCAAAAGGAGGAGGUCUUUCUUCGGUUACUAGAGGCAAAAAAAACAGAAUUUUUCUUUUCAUCAGUUUACACUUCACCUGUUACAUUCAAAGCAAGAAAUAUCAGCAGACAUUCGAGUUCUGUUUUGGCAACAAAGUUGCAAGGUUGCUAUUGUUUCGUCCAUGGCUGUGAUUUCUAAAUGGGUGUGUAUGUUGGUGCCGCGGGGUUUUCUUUUUCCAUUUUCGGGAGGAAUCAUGUGCUUUAAAGUUUCUCAUUAUCCCCCACUCGUCUGUUCGGUUUUUUUUUCUUCCCUUUUUUUGCAUACAACGAGUGUGGUAGCUCCCAAGAUUAGGAAAGCAGUAAAGAGGUGUAAGUCACGGUUCCUGUAAUAAUUUCCGUUUCAGAACUCUGUUUUUUUUUCGUGCAUACAUACUUGUGCCUUAUUUUAGAGAAAGAUGGGUCAGGCUUUAGGCUUUGAGUUUAAAUCGGUGUCGAAUCUUGUUUAUUUAAGAUGAACUGUUUUAGGUUUUUUUGUGAAUUUUGGAAUAGACAGGUAUGUUUUGUUUUGCUAAUUGUGAUGUUUGUAUUUAAUUGUAUUGUUUCUAUUUUGAUAAAAAAAAAAAGUAAAAAUAUUUUCUUA